rnacentral:rRNA from 1 species
AGAGUUUGAUCCUGGCUCAGGAUGAACGCUGGCGGCGUGCCUAAGAUAUGCAAGUCGAGCGAUCCGACGUUUUGUCGGAUAGCGGCGGACGGCUGAGUAACACGUAGGAACCUACCCGGUUGUGGACCAUAGCUCGCCGAAAGGCGGGGUAAUAGUCCAUGGUGGUCCGACGUUAUGUUGGACCUAAAGAGCGUAACUGCUCGCAACCGGAUGGGCCUGCGGCCUAUCAGGUAGUUGGUAGGGUAACGGCCUACCAAGCCGAUGACGGGUAGCUGGCCUGAGAGGGUGGUCAGCCAGAGGGGGACUGAGACACGGCCCCCACUCCUACGGGAGGCAGCAAUCAGGAAUCGUCGGCAAUGGGCGAAAGCCUGACCGCGCGACGCCGCGUGCGGGAAGAAGCUCGAAAGAGUGUAAACCGCUGUGGUAGGGGAGGAAGGCCCGACGUGAUGUCGGACUUGACCGUACCCUACUAGAAAGGGGCCGCUAACUGCGUGCCAGAAGCGUCGGUAAUACGUGGGCCCCAAACGUUAUCCGGUCUUACUGGGUGUAAAAUGUCGCGUAGGCGUCCUACUAAGUUUUACUUUAAAUCCUACAGCCCAACUGUAGAUUAGGGUAAAAUACUAGUAGGAUAGAGUAGCCUUUAGGGGAACUGGAACUCAGGGAGGAGUAGUGAAAUGCGUUGAUACCCUGGGGAACACCAGUGGCGAAGGCGAGUUCCUGGAAGGCUACUGACGCUGAGGCACGAAAGCUAGGGGAGCGAAGCAGAUUAGAGACCUGCGUAGUCCUAGCUGUAAACGCAUGCUUGCUAGCUGCAUUUAUCCCGACAUUACGUCGGGAUCGGUGUGGCGAAGGUAACCCGUUAAGCAAGCUACCUGGGGACUACGGCCGCAAGGCUAAAACUCAAAGGAAUUGGCGGGGAGGCACACAACCAGUGGAACAUGUGGUUCAAUUCGAGACGAACCGAAGAACCUCACCAGGGCUUGACAUCUCAGCGUUCAGUCCCGAAGAAAUUCGGGAUGUCCGCAAGGAGGCUGGGACAGGUGCUGCAUGGCUGUCGUCAGCUCGUUCCGUGAGGAGUGCCCUUAAGUGGGACAACGAGCGCAACCCCUAUCCUGUGUUAAAUCUGUCACAGGAGACGGUCCCGACGAUCGUCGGGAAGGAAGGAGGGGCAGACGUCAAGUCAGCAUGGCCCUUAUGCCCUGGGCUACACACAUGUUACAAUGGGAAGGACAACGGGCUUUGCCACACCGCAAGGUGGAGCGAAUCCCUUAAACCUUCCCUCAGUUGGGAUUGAGGUCUGCAACCCGACCUCAUGAACGCGGAAUUGGUAGUAAUCGCGGAUCAGCCAUGCCGCGGUGAAUACGUUCUUGCCUCUUGCACACACCGCCCGUCAAGCCAACAAAGUCGGUGAUAUUUGAAGUCCGACUUAGUCGGACGAGAAUAUUGCCGGCGAUGGGGGUUAAGUCGUAACAUGGUAACC